rnacentral:rRNA from 1 species
CCUACGGGAGGCAGCAGUGGGGAAUAUUGCACAAUGGGCGCAAGCCUGAUGCAGCCAUGCCGCGUGUGUGAAGAAGGCCUUCGGGUUGUAAAGCACUUUCAGUCAGGAGGAAAGAUUAGUAGUUAAUACCUGCUAGUUGUGACGUUACUGACAGAAGAAGCACCGGCUAACUCCGUGCCAGCAGCCGCGGUAAUA